GCAUCGGUGAAGCAGCGAUUUAGCCUACGCUCCCGGGAAGAAUGAGAUCUGGGUUCGAAUCCCAGCUGACGCA